rnacentral:lncRNA from 1 species
UAUAGCUCAAGAACGAGGAAGUGGACAUAAUCAAGAUUGACGCGACGGCCAACGACUGGCCCAAAUCGCUGUUCGAGGUGUCUGGCUUCCCCACCAUCUACUGGAAGCCCAAAGACACCAGCAAGAAACCUGUCAGAUACAAUGGUGGCCGUGCCUUAGAAGAUUUCAUCAAGUACGUCGCGGAGCAGGCCUCCAGCGAACUCAAGGGCUGGGACAGGAAGGGCAACGCCAAGAAGGAAGAGUUGUAAACAUUGUGAUGUAAACUUUCCAUGAAAGAUCUGUGAGUGAAUGGUGUGUUAAGUGUGAAUGCUGCCUUAGGAACACUUGGUGGCAUUUUCUAAACUUCCAUUGAAAUUUGAAUCUUAGAAGCAAUGUGUGCUUGAAAUAGUUUUGAAAUACUGCAUGGUAAGAUAAGACCUAUUGUCUCGUCAAACACACUCUAGUGAACUCUGGGCUUAAAAGCAACAGCUAAGAAUUCAACCAGGGCAAAUACAUGCAGUAAAACAUAUCAAUUUGUAAAGAAAUAGUUCAUAGGUCAUGCUUUAUAGAUUCCAUUUUGUAAUACCAGUGACACUAUUGCUUUUGACAUCAACUUUUUUCUAUAAGGUUAUCAAACUUCAGAAGCAUAAAUCCCAAGUACUUGUGAAAUAGUACGCAUUCCUCAGAUGUGUCACCAAGUCUCCAAAUCGGCUUUUAAGUUAGGUCACUCUAAAUACAGUAAUUUGAAUGCAUUUCUAUUUGUCAGUGGGAUACUAAAUAAAUUAGGUUAUUUAUAAUA